rnacentral:rRNA from 1 species
GAUGAACGCUAGCGGAAGGCUUAAUACAUGCAAGUCGAGCGGUAGGUGGCUUCGGCCAUUGAGAGCGGCGCACGGGUGAGUAACGCGUACAUGACCUGCCUGUCAGAAGGGGAUAGCCCUGGGAAACUGGGAUUAAUACCCUAUGGUAUUGAUAUUAUGAAUGAUAUCAAUUAAAGUUGAGGCGCUGACAGAUGGAUGUGCGUCUGAUUAGCUAGUUGGUAGGGUAACGGCCUACCAAGGCGACGAUCAGUAGGGGGCGUGAGAGCGUGGUCCCCCACACGGGUACUGAGACACGGACCCGACUCCUACGGGGGGCAGCAGUAAGGAAUAUUGGUCAAUGCCCGCAAGGGUGAACCAGCCAUUCCGCGUGGAGGAUGAAGGCCCUAUGGGUUGUAAACUUCUUUUAGAUGGGAAGAAAAUGCUAGAUGUAUCUGGUACUGACGGUACCAUCAGAAUAAGCACCGGCUAACUCCGUGCCAGCCGCCGCGGUAAUAC